rnacentral:piRNA from 1 species
UCAUUAUACUGAUAUUGAUUUGGGUGA